rnacentral:rRNA from 1 species
UACGUAGGGUGCGAGCGUUAAUCGGAAUUACUGGGCGUAAAGGGCGCGUAGGCGGCCACCGCAAGUCGGUUGUGAAAUCUCCGGGCUUAACCCGGAAAGGUCAAUCGAUACUGCGGGGCUAGAGUGCAGAAGGGGCAACUGGAAUUCUCGGUGUAGCGGUGAAAUGCGUAGAUAUCGGGAGGAACACCUGUGGCGAAAGCGGCUCACUGGACCACAACUGACGCUGAGGCGCGAAAGCUAGGGGAGCAAACAGG